rnacentral:rRNA from 1 species
AUAGUGCUUUCUGCACAAUGUAAAUUGCCGCAGUACCCUGACUGUGCUAAGGUAGCAUAAUCAUUUGGCUUAUAAUUGAAGUCUAGUAUGAACGAAUUAUGGGGGUAGCUGUUUCAACAAGUGUUCUAAUUUGCCUGGGGGGUGAAAAUGCCCUCCAUAGUAAAAGACGAGAAGACCCUUGAAAUUUUGAGUUUUGUUGGGGCGACAAAGUAGUACUAUGGGCAACGUUUAGGUGGAAAUUAAAUUACUCUAGGGAUAACAGCAUAAUAUUUGAAGUUUGUGACCUCGAUGUUGGACUAGGAAAAGUUAAGA